rnacentral:rRNA from 1 species
GACGAACGCUGGCGGCGUGCUUAACACAUGCAAGUCGAACGGAAAGGCCCUGCUUUUGUGGGGUGCUCGAGUGGCGAACGGGUGAGUAACACGUGAGUAACCUGCCCUUGACUUUGGGAUAACUUCAGGAAACUGGGGCUAAUACCGGAUAGGAGCUCCUGCUGCAUGGUGGGGGUUGGAAAGUUUCGGCGGUUGGGGAUGGACUCGCGGCUUAUCAGCUUGUUGGUGGGGUAGUGGCUUACCAAGGCUUUGACGGGUAGCCGGCCUGAGAGGGUGACCGGCCACAUUGGGACUGAGAUGCGGCCCAGACUCCUACGGGAGGCAGCGGUGGGGAAUAUUGCACAAUGGGCGGAAGCCUGAUGCAGCACCGCCGCGUGCGGGAUGACGGCCUUCGGGUUGUAAUCCGCUUUCGCCUGUGACGAAGCGUGAGUGACGGUAAUGGGUAAAGAAGCACCGGCUAACUACGUG